UCCAGACUCCUACGGGAGGCAGCAGUGGGGGAUAUUGCACAAUGGGGGAAACCCUGAUGCAGCGACGCCGCGUGUGGGAAGACGGUCCUCUGGAUUGUAAACCACUGUCCCCAGGGACGAAGAUGACGGUACCUGGGGAGGAAGCCCCGGCUAACUACGUGCCAGCAGCCGCGGUAAUACGUAGGGGGCAAGCGUUAUCCGGAUUUACUGGGUGUAAAGGGAGCGUAGACGGCAGGGCAAGCCAGAAGUGAAAACGCAGAGCUUAACUUUGCGACUGCUUUUGGAACUGCCCAGCUAGAGUACAGGAGAGGUAAGUGGAAUUCCUAGUGUAGCGGUGAAAUGCGUAGAUAUUAGGAGGAACACCAGUGGCGAAGGCGGCUUACUGGACUGAGACUGACGUUGAGGCUCGAAAGCGUGGGGAGCAAACAGGAUUAGAUACCCGAGUA
rnacentral:rRNA from 1 species